rnacentral:rRNA from 1 species
GGUUCAGGAUGAACGCUGGCGGCGUGCUUAAUACAUGCAAGUCGAACGAAGCACUUAUGACAGAUCCCCUCGGGGUAAAGACGUUUGUGACUGAGUGGCGGACGGGUGAGUAACGCGUGGGUAACCUGCCUUAUGCAGGGGGACAACAGUUGGAAACGACUGCUAAUACCGCAUAAGCGCACGGCACCGCAUGGUGCAGUGUGAAAAGAUUUAUCGGCAUAAGAUGGACCCGCGUCUGAUUAGGUAGUUGGUGAGGUAACGGCCCACCAAGCCGACGAUCAGUAGCCGACUUGAGAGAGUGAUCGGCCACAUUGGGACUGAGACACGGCCCAGACUCCUACGGGAGGCAGCAGUAGGGAAUAUUGCACAAUGGGGGAAACCCUGAUGCAGCCGACGCCGCGUGAGUGAUGAAGUAUUUCGGUACGUAAAGCUCUAUCAGCAGGGAAGAUAAUGACGGUACCUGACUAAGAAGCCCCGGCUAACUACGUGCCAGCAGCAGC